CAAUCAUCACCUUGGAAGCUUCAUCACGAUACUACUUUGAUUCUUCUUCCCUCUUCAGAAAUGCAAUGUGCAAAUUCAAUUCCAUGGUUUUGGAAGUCCCAUUGAGAACACGAUUCAUUUGUGCCGGCAUAAUGCUCUGACCGAGAAAGAAUUGAAGGAAAAAAGCAAUGAAAGUGCCGUUAAUGUUUUGCACGGCGAGCUGCUGCAUACUAACCGGUCUCACACCAUUACCAUCACCUUGCCCUUGUGAAGGCAGAUAUGGAUAAGGUUCUCAAAGCUGAUAGAAGAUUGAAACCACUCUAAUCCUGUGACGAUGAACCUACCCCGGAAGAGAGAGCCCAGAGAAUUGCCAAAGCUGUCCGCAAACAGUCAACAGAAGUGAAGGAAAAUUGGGAGCAAUUGAAAACCCGUGCGAGCAACUGGCAGAAACAGGUGGAAAAGGCGUUGGAGAAACUUCAAGAACUGCAGAAAGCGCUGGAUGAUCUUGAGGCUCAUGUGAUAACAGCUGAGGGGGUCCACACUGAUUGGCAACCUGUGGGUGACCUGCUUAUUGACUCAUUGCAGGAUCACAUUGAUAAAACCACAGACACAAUCAUUGCCUUGGAAGCUUCAUCACGAUGCGACAUUGCAUUUCUGAAGAGGGAAGAAGAAAUCAAUAUGCAAAUUCAAUUCCAUGUUUUUGGAAGUCCCAUUGAGAAAACGAUUCAUUUGCACCAGCAUAAUGCUCUGACUGAGAAAGAAUUGAAGUUUCCACUUGGAAGAAAGAUUCACAUCAAAUUGACUGGUCAAGGAAAUGGGACACUGACUAACCGUACGAUUAGACUGUUUUGAUGAGGAAUUUAAAGAUUAUGUGUCCCAUCCGUUUGACUCACCGUUUGGUACCAUAGGUUGGUACGAUCUUCGUUCGAGAAAGAAAAGGGAUGUUCCAGAGACAGAAAACCGUCAAACCAUUUACUACAAAGUCCGUUUCUGGGUGGAGUUAGUGGAACUGAAAAAGAUGUCUCCCUCACAGCGUUUGUGACACAAGAAUUGCAUCGUUCCUUGGCGGCCUUUCAACAGAAGAAUAUUCAGAGAUUUCCCGAGUGUUGGUCGAGUGGAUCACAGAAAGUCUGGCAACAAAAAAGCUGCAAUGGUUACCUCGUCACUGCUUCCAACUCCUCCUCUUUCUCAGCUGGUGCCCGAUCACUGGCAGCGACAGCGUACCCUCAUGAUGCCAAGGUUGGAGACUAUCAAGAAUCAUGACGACACCGGCCCUUCUCUGUACUGCAGGACUGCCCCAGAGUGCUCCAGGCAGCAGAAGCAACAUUGAACUACUCCAGUGGUCUGCACCAUUACAUUUCCUGUGGUACUUUAUGCAGCCCCUCUGAGUGUGUAAUACACACUCCCAUAUGGACCACGUCAUCAAACAAAGGCUCUUGUCACCUCCUCAUUACUUCAAGUUGUUCAAAUGAGGAUGGCAGGGCAGAAUA